UGGGGAAUAUUGGACAAUGGGCGCAAGCCUGAUCCAGCCAUGCCGCGUGUGUGAAGAAGGCCUUUUGGUUGUAAAGCACUUUAAGCGAGGAGGAGGCUACUUGGAUUAAUACUCUAGGAUAGUGGACGUUACUCGCAGAAUAAGCACCGGCUAACUCUGUGCCAGCCGCCGCGGUAAUACAGAGGGUGCGAGCGUUAAUCGGAUUUACUGGGCGUAAAGCGUGCGUAGGCGGCUUCUUAAGUCGGAUGUGAAAUCCCUGAGCUUAACUUAGGAAUUGCAUUCGAUACUGGGAAGCUAGAGUAUGGGAGAGGAUGGUAGAAUUCCAGGUGUAGCGGGGAAAUGCGUAGAGAUCUGGAGGAAUACCGAUGGCGAAGGCAGCCAUCUGGCCUAAUACUGACGCUGAGGUACGAAAGCAUGGGGAGCAAACAGG
rnacentral:rRNA from 1 species